GUGCCAGCAGCCGCGGUAAUAGAGACGGUGCAAGCGUUAAUCGGAAUUACUGGGCGUUUAGCGCGCGUAGGUGGUUCGUUAAGUUGGAUGUGAAAUCCCCGGGCUCAACCUGGGAACUGCAUUCAAAACUGACGAGCUAGAGUAUGGUAGAGGGUGGUGGAAUUUCCUGUGUAGCGGUGAAAUGCGUAGAUAUAGGAAGGAACACCAGUGGCGAAGGCGACCACCUGGACUGAUACUGACACUGAGGUGCGAAAGCGUGGGGAGCAAACAGGAUUAGAUACCCGAGUAGUCC
rnacentral:rRNA from 1 species